GUCACUUUGGCGGAGUGGUUAACGCGCAGCCCUGCUAUUGACUGAGUAGAUUUAAGUUGGUCUAUGUAGGCAUAGAAUAGGCUGUGACUUCGGUCGCGUAGGUUCGAAUCCUGCAGGUGACG